rnacentral:tRNA from 2 species
GUCUUUGUAGUAUAUUGAUUACUUUGGUCUUGUAAACCAAGAAUGGAGAACCCUAUCUCCCUAAGACU